rnacentral:rRNA from 1 species
CCUACGGGUCGCAGCAGGCGCGAAACCUCCACAAUGCACGCAAGUGCGAUGGGGCUACCCAAAGUGCUCCAGACGGAGCUGUGGUGGAUGAGUAAUGUUCUCCGCUAGAAAGGAGAGGGCAAGGCUGGUGCCAGCCGCCGCGGUAAAACCAGCUCUUCAAGUGGUCGGGAUAAUUAUUGGGCUUAAAGUGUCCGUAGCUGGUAGAGUAAGUUCCUGGUAAAAGGGGGCAGCUUAACUGUCCUUAUGCUAGGGAUACUGCUGUACUAGAGGGCGGGAGAAGUCUGAGGUACUACAGGGGUAGGGGUGAAAUCUUAUAAUCCUUGUAGGACCACCAGUGGCGAAAGCGUCAGACUGGAACGCGCCUGACAGUGAGGGACGAAAGCCAGGGGAGCGAACCGGAUUAGAUACCCGUGUAGUC